rnacentral:rRNA from 1 species
CGGACGGGUGAGUAACGCGUGAGAAUCUGCCCUUAGGACGGGGACAACAGCUGGAAACGGCUGCUAAUACCCGAUGUGCCGAGAGGUGAAACAUUUUAUGGCCUGAGGAUGAGCUCGCGUCUGAUUAGCUAGUUGGUGGGGUAAGGGCCUACCAAGGCGACGAUCAGUAGCUGGUCUGAGAGGAUGAUCAGCCACACUGGGACUGAGACACGGCCCAGACUCCUACGGGAGGCAGCAGUGGGGAAUUUUCCGCAAUGGGCGCAAGCCUGACGGAGCAAGACCGCGUGCGGGAGGACGGCCUAUUGGUUGUAAACCGCUUUUGAUAGGGAAGAAGUUCUGACGGUACCUAUCGAAUCAGCAUCGGCUAACUCCGUGCCAGCAGCCGCGGUAAUACGGAGGAUGCAAGCGUUAUCCGGAAUUAUUGGGCGUAAAGCGUCCGUAGGUGGUUGUUCAAGUCUGCUGUUAAAGCGUGCGGCUUAACCGCAUACCAGCAGUGGAAACUGGGCGGCUAGAGUGCGGUAGGGGUCAGGGGAAUUCCCAGUGUAGCGGUGAAAUGCGUAGAUAUUGGGAAGAACACCGGUGGCGAAAGCGCCUGACUGGACCUGCACUGACACUGAGGGACGAAAGCUAGGGGAGCGAAAGGGAUUAGAUACCCCUGUAGUC